rnacentral:misc_RNA from 1 species
UUCAUAAUGGAUUUGCAACCAUCACAAUUACAUGACUAUUCAUUUAUUUAGGUUUAUAUUUUUGUUCCCUUCAGGAUGUAAAUAAUAAUUACUCUUAUUUAUUCCCAUGGUUACCUAUGUACAUGUUGAUAUUUUAUUAGGUUGUAAUAAGCUGAUAUUGCUUUCUAUGUGCUAACAUCACAUCAGGAAAUUACAAAGAGAAUAAUAAUCAAAUUAAAAUUAAAGAAAAAGCUAACUUAGCGGCAGAUUUGUUGCCCUUUGAGCUCGGCAUGUAUACUGUCUCUCCGGCCACACAUUUCUCGACAAUAUUAAUAUCAAGGUGCAGCAAAAGCAUCAUCCACCCACUUGACAGAGACCUUAUUGUCGGUUUUGGACGAAACGGGCAAGCCAAAGAAACCUUGCACAGCAGCUCGGACCUUGUUGUGGCGCUUCCGUUGUCGAAUCCGCCGCAGGACCACCUCUUUAUCUAACGUUUGAGUGGAGUGAGCAGGCUUUAAGCGGACGUGACUGGUCACGGUCACGGCGCUUAAGAUUUCUGGGUCUUCUUCAUCUUCUCUGGAAUUGUUGUUGUUGGUGUUGUUCUCCGCCUCUGAGAGAGUGGGCUGGGAUUUAGAUACCAAGGAAGACAUUACUAAAGCUUGGUUGCUAGAAUGCUAGCUAGUCUAGUAGUGCACCGAAAAUGUAAUUAGCAAUGGAGAUGAAGAAGUAUGCGAAGGUCUCGUCUGUUUAUUGAAUUGGGAUUUGGACGGUGCAGUGGGCUCCAACUUUGAGAUGGUCUGGGGAAACGGUAGCAAUAGAAUCCAUGGUUUUAAUUUCUUUGGGAAGUAGGUUGCAGGUUUCAUGCUAAUUUAAUAAGGGUGAAGGCAUAUUCCUUUUCCUUUAACUAAAAGGUUAACUUAUGCCUAGUUUCUUACAUGUCACACUUGUUGGUUCUUUGUAGAAGUUUUAUGAAUUGUCUUUUCAAUUUGGUAGAAUAUAAAGAUGCUAAGAAGUGGAUUCUCAGUAGGAAAGUGGCAAAAAGCAACCCUCCUCAGAGCUGCCAAUAUUUCAAUGGCUUGGGUAUUGGGUAUUGUUGUUGUAGAUCAAUGUCAGUUCUGGACUUGGG